rnacentral:rRNA from 1 species
GACGAACGCUGGCGGCGUGCUUAACACAUGCAAGUCGAACGGAAAGGCCCUGCUUUUGUGGGGUGCUCGAGUGGCGAACGGGUGAGUAACACGUGAGUAACCUGCCCUUGACUUUGGGAUAACUUCAGGAAGCUGGGGCUAAUACCGGAUAGGAGCUCCUGCUGCAUGGUGGGGGUUGGAAAGUUUCGGCGGUUGGGGAUGGACUCGCGGCUUAUCAGCUUGUUGGUGGGGUAGUGGCUUACCAAGGCUUUGACGGGUAGCCGGCCUGAGAGGGUGACCGGCCACAUUGGGACUGAGAUACGGCCCAGACUCCUACGGGAGGCAGCAGUGGGGAAUAUCGCACAAUGGGCGGAAGCCUGAUGCAGCAACGCCGCGUGCGGGAUGACGGCCUUCGGGUUGUAAACCGCUUUCGCCUGUGACGAAGCGUGAGUGACGGUAAUGGGUAAAGAAGCACCGGCUAACUACGUG